rnacentral:rRNA from 1 species
CCUACGGGAGGCUGCAGUGAGGAAUAUUGGUCAAUGGACGAGAGUCUGAACCAGCCAAGUAGCGUGAAGGAUGACUGCCCUAUGGGUUGUAAACUUCUUUUAUAAAGGAAUAAAACGAGGCACGUGUGCCUUUUUGCAUGUACUUUAUGAAUAAGGAUCGGCUAACUCCGUGCCAGCAGCCGCGGUAAUACGGAGGAUCCGAGCGUUAUCCGGAUUUAUUGGGUUUAAAGGGAGCGUAGAUGGGUUGUUAAGUCAGUUGUGAAAGUUUGCGGCUCAACCGUAAAAUUGCAAUUGAUACUGGCAGUCGUGAGUACAGUUGAGGUAAGCGGAAUUCGUGGUGUAGCGGUGAAAUGCUUAGAUAUCACGAAGAACUCCGAUUGCGAAGGCAGCUUACUAAACUGCCACUGACAUUGAUGCUCGAAAGUGUGGGUAUCAAACAGGAUUAGAUACCCUUGUAGUC